rfam:Glycine max cultivar Williams 82 chromosome 9, whole genome shotgun sequence.
UCCAGAUUUAAAUAUUGACUGUCAUGUGUUAUGUUCUGAUUGGACGUGAAAAGAUGCAUCCAAGAGCCAGUUCUAACAUUUUUCUAUUCAUCGUCCAAUCAAAAUGUGACACGUGCCAAUCAAUAUUU